CUGCAGCCGGCGCCGCGGCCACUCCCGAGAGCAUGAAGGACCGAACCCAGGAGCUCCGCACGGCCAAGGACAGCGAUGAUGAUGAUGAUGUCACUGUUACUGUGGACCGAGACCGCUUCAUGGAUGAGUUCUUUGAACAGGUGGAGGAAAUCCGCAGCUUCAUUGACAAGAUCUCGGAGAAUGUGGAGGAGGUGAAGCGGAAGCACAGUGCCAUCCUGGCCUCCCCCAACCCUGAUGAGAAGACGAAGGAGGAGCUGGAGGAGCUCAUGUCUGACAUAAAGAAGACAGCAAACAAAGUGCGCUCCAAGUUGAAGAGCAUCGAGCAAAGCAUUGAGCAGGAAGAAGGCCUGAAUCGCUCAUCUGCUGACCUAAGGAUCCGGAAGACGCAGCACUCUACGCUGUCCCGGAAGUUUGUGGAGGUCAUGUCUGAGUACAACGCAACACAGUCUGACUAUCGGGAGCGCUGCAAGGGCCGCAUCCAGAGGCAGCUGGAGAUCACUGGCAGGACCACAACCAGUGAGGAGCUGGAAGACAUGCUGGAGAGUGGGAACCCGGCCAUCUUUGCCUCUGGAAUCAUCAUGGACUCCAGUAUCUCGAAGCAGGCCCUGAGCGAAAUUGAGACGCGGCACAGUGAGAUCAUCAAGCUGGAGAACAGCAUCCGUGAACUGCACGACAUGUUCAUGGACAUGGCCAUGCUUGUGGAGAGCCAGGAUGCUUUCCCGAAGUCCUUCCCAAAGCCCAUCCUGACCCUAAGCGGGGCCAUCUGGAACUCGGGCGCCCCUGGCUCUGCAGGGGGAAAUGAUUGACAGGAUCGAGUACAAUGUGGAGCACUCAGUGGACUAUGUGGAGAGGGCUGUGUCUGACACCAAGAAGGCAGUCAAGUACCAAAGCAAGGCACGCCGGAAGAAGAUCAUGAUCAUCAUCUGCUGUGUGAUCCUGGGCAUUGUCAUUGCCUCCAUCUUUGGAGGCAUUUUUGGAUAGAAAUCACCUUACUUGCCACUCCACUCUGGAUGGUCCACCCUGAGGAGGCCCCCUUGGCUGCUGCCAUCCUCUGGCUUGGAGCCCCCACCUUCUCACUCCAUAAUGCUCCUUUCACUGCCAUGGGAACCUCCAUACCCACCCUGCCCUGAGCCAUUGUGUGCAUGAUCUUUGUAACAGUGUGCGUCUGUACAGAAGAGACAGGGGAGCUAGGCUGGGAAAAAGCCAGCAGGAUGAGGAUGGGUCAGCAAGGGACAAACCCGGGCCCUGGCCACCUCACCCUUCCCAAGCAGGGCUGCCCAAGAUAGCCAUGCUUCCCUUCCCCUGCUUUCAGUAAUUCCACUCUUGACCUGUGGUCUACCCUCUCUGGGAAUCAAGGCUCUUUGUACUCCAACUUUGCCUCCUACUGACCCACCCAUCUGCCCUGUUCUCUCCAGCUGUCCCCCUAAGCCCAGCCCCCUGAGGGGUAGGGACCAGCUGGCCACAUGGUGCUGCUUUUCAGGUUAGGGGAAGGAUAGCCCUGAGAGACAGCCCAGCUCUAAGCCUCUAAUAGCUGAUCACUGCCAGGGAGGCUCAGGGUACCGUGGCCAAGUGGCUCCUGGCCAUGUCAAGACCAGGCUCCCUCCCCUACCUAGGGACGGAGUCCAACAGGUCUUCAGCUGCCUCAACCUCCCUUCCCACAUUCCUACAGUCCCAGGAGCAAUCCCUUUGGGCUGUGCCUGACUCCAGGUUAAAAUUCUGGAAGAGAGGCUGACUAGUAGUACCUGGUCUUCAGCCACCCUUGGAGCUACGGAGGCAGAGCAGGCCCCAGUCAGGUCAAGCCUGCAGCCUGGGCCAGCCAUUCUCCCCAGCAGGCCUUAGCGGGGUCCUCAAGCCAUUGUGUUGCAUGUUUGGUCCCUGCUCUCUUGUGCUCCAGCAAGUCAGAUGCCACUUCAGGCCUGCAAUCACAUCCUGCCCUUGCUGUUUCACAUUGAUGUGCCACGAGUGUCAGGUGUCUUGGAUGCAGUAUUCAGCAGCCAGCCAGGGAGGGAGUACCUCCCUCCCCACCAUCCUGGGGCUU